GGACGAACGCUGGCGGCAUGCCUAACACAUGCAAGUCGAGGGAAACGACAUCGAAAGCUUGCUUUUGAUGGGCGUCGACCGGCGCACGGGUGAGUAACGCGUAUCCAACCUGCCCACCACUUGGGGAUAACCUUGCGAAAGUAAGACUAAUACCCAAUGAUAUCCCACGAAGGCAUCGGAAUGGGAUUAAAGAUUUAUCGGUGAUGGAUGGGGAUGCGUCUGAUUAGCUUGUUGGCGGGGUAACGGCCCACCAAGGCAACGAUCAGUAGGGGUUCUGAGAGGAAGGUCCCCCACAUUGGAACUGAGACACGGUCCAAACUCCUACGGGAGGCAGCAGUGAGGAAUAUUGGUCAAUGGGCGGAAGCCUGAACCAGCCAAGUAGCGUGAGGGAUGACUGCCCUAUGGGUUGUAAACCUCUUUUAUAAGGGAAUAAAAUACGGGACGUGUCCUGUUUUGCAUGUACCUUAUGAAUAAGGACCGGCUAAUUCCGUG
rnacentral:rRNA from 1 species